rnacentral:rRNA from 1 species
GAGCUGGCAUCAGGCACGCACUCGUGUAGCCCAUAACGCCUUGUUUAGCCACACCCCCAAGGGAAUUCAGCAGUGAUUUACUUUAAGCCAUAAGCGAAAGCUUGACUAAGUUAAGGUUAAUUUAGAGCCGGCAAAACUCGUGCCAGCCGCCGCGGUUAGACGACGAGGCUCAAAUUGAUGUUCCACCGGCGUAAAGCGUGAUUAAAUAAACUAAUAAACUAAAGCCAAAUACACCCAUAGCUGUUAUACGCUUACGGGUAACGAGGCCCCACAACGAAAGUGGCUUUAAUACUAUUGAAUUCACGACCGCUAAGAAACAAACUGGGAUUAGAUACCCCACUAUGCUUAGCCGUAAACAAUGAUGGAAACUUACGAAUACCAUCCGCCAGGGGAUUACGAGCAAAGCUUAAAACCCAAAGGACUUGGCGGUGUCUCAAACCCACCUAGAGGAGCCUGUCCUAUAACCGAUAAUCCACGAUUAACCUCACCCCUCCUUGCAAAUCAAGCCUAUAUACCACCGUCGCCAGCUUACCUCAUGAGAGACCAACAGUAAAGCUAAAUGGGCACAGCCCAAAACGUCAGGUCGAGGUGUAGCCGAUGGAGGGCGGAAGAGAUGGGCUACAUUUUCUGAUCCAGAAUAUUACGAAAGGCGUUAUGAAAGGAACGCAAUUGAA